rnacentral:rRNA from 1 species
GGGAAUCUUCCACAAUGGGCGAAAGCCUGAUGGAGCAACGCCGCGUGAAUGAAGAAGGCCUUCGGGUUGUAAAAUUCUGUUAUAAGGGAAGAAAGGUGAUAGGAGGAAAUGACUAUCAAUUGACGGUACCUUAUGAGAAAGCCACGGCUAACUACGUGCCAGCAGCCGCGGUAAUACGUAGGUGGCAAGCGUUAUCCGGAAUUAUUGGGCGUAAAGAGCGCGCAGGUGGUUAAUUAAGUCUGAUGUGAAAGCCUUCGGCUUAACCGGAGUAGUGCAUUGGAAACUGGGAGACUUGAGUGCAGAAGAGGAGAGUGGAACUCCAUGUGUAGCGGUGAAAUGCGUAGAUAUAUGGAGGAACACCAGUGGCGAAGGCGGCUCUCUGGUCUGUAACUGACGCUGAGGCUCGAAAGCGUGGGGAGCA